GCUACCACCGAUGCUCCUCAUAACUUCUUCUCACCAAAUUAGGAAAUAUGAUAUCCAAUUCUGGGCACUCAAGACCAUAGUGCAUAAAGAGGCUGCUGCAUAGAUGAGGUACCUGAAGGAUGUAUGUAGCUAAAUCUGGCAAUGUAUAGGCAAAAUCAUGAGAUUUCCUGGGGAAAGAAUGAAGAGAGAAGACACGAGUGAAAGGAAGGAAACGGAAGUAAGAGGAUGGGAAGGAAUGGAAGGGGCAGAAACUGGAAGAACAAUGUCUGUGAUGGGAUUUUGGGAGGCCAAGGCAGGAGGAUCACUUAAGUCCAGGAGUUGGAGACCAGCCUGGACAACACAGGGAGGCCCCAUCUCUACAACAACAACAAAAACCUAGCCAGGCACAAGUUGUGGUUCCAGCUACUCAGAAGGAUUCCGCGAGCCUGGCAGAUGGAGGCUGCAGUGAACCUUGAUUGCAACACGGCACUUCAGCCUGCGGGACAGAGCAAGAUCUCAUCACACACACACACACACACACAAACACACACAUACACACACAAAUAAUAAAUAUUUUUAAAAAUAAAAGACUGUUUCUCCAAUGUGAAACUACAAAAUUGGAAUGCUUUUCCUUCUUUUCUCCUAAGAAACAUCUCUCAUUCUCUUGCUUUGAAUAAAUAAAAUAGAAAUGUUUGAACUAA